GAGUUUGAUCGUGGCUCAGAUUGAACGCUGGCGGAAUGCUUUACACAUGCAAGUCGAGCGGCAGCGCGGGGCAACCUGGCGGCGAGCGGCGAACGGGUGAGUAAUGCAUCGGAACAUGUCCAAGUCGUGGGGGAUAGCCCGGCGAAAGCCGGAUUAAUACCGCAUGUGCCCGAGAGGGGAAAGUGGGGGACCGCAAGGCCUCACGCGAUUGGGUUGGCCGAUGUCCGAUUGGCUAGUUGGCGGGUAAGAGCCCACCAAGGCGAUGAUCGGUAGCUGGUCUGAGAGGAUGAUCAGCCACACUGGGACUGAGACACGGCCCAGACUCCUACGGAGGCAGCAGUGGGAAUUUUGGACAAUGGGGCAACCCUGAUCCAGCCAUUCCGCGUGAGUGAAGAAGGCCUUCGGUU
rnacentral:rRNA from 1 species